AGUCAGUGUGCAGUGAUUCAGUAUGUAAGCUGAGAGUCAGUAUACAAUGAUCCAGUGUCUGGGAGUCAGUGGGAUCCAGUGUCUGGGAGUCAGUGUCCAGUGAUCCAAUGUCUGGGAGUCAGUGUCUGGGAGUCAGUGUGCAGUGAUUCAGUAUCUGAGCUGGGAGUCAGUGUCCAGUGAUCCAAUGUCUGGGAGUCAGUGUACAAUGAUUCAGUUCCUGAACCGGGAGUCAGUGAUCCAGUGUCUGGGAGUCAGUGUGGAGUGAUCCAGUGUCUGGGAGUCAGUAUCUGAGCUGGGAGUCAGUGUACAGUGAUCCAGUGUCUGCUAGUCAGUAUGCAGUGAUUCAGUAUCUGAGCUGGGAGUCAGUGUGCAGUGAUUCAGUAUGUAAGCUGAGAGUCAGUAUACAAUGAUCCAGUGUCUGUGAGUCAGUGGGAUCCAGUGUGUAAGCUGGGAGUCAGUGUCCAGUGAUCCAAUGUCUGGGAGUCAGUGUCUAGUGAACCAUUAUCUGAGCUGGGAGUCAGUGUACAGUGAUUCAGUAUCUGAGCUGGGAGUCAGUGUCCAGUGAUCCAAUGUCUGGGAGUC